GUUAAGCUAAGUUUUUUUUUUUUUUUGUUGGAUUCUGUGAAUUUUGUGGAGGUUUUUUAUUAGCAGAAAACAGAUAUUUGAACACGUUGCAUACACUAAGAAAAGCACUUUGCUUUUCACUGAAUAGUCAUGGAUGUGAAGAGACAAAGUUGGAGGGUAAAACUGCAGAAAAUAUCCUUUUUCGUUCUUACUGGCCUGUGUGGUUUCACUUCAGAUUAUAGUUUUUAAUAUAUGCAAUUUAAAAGAAGAUUUCAUCAUUAACAAACGUGAAAGCUUUGACAGUGGCAAUAAUUUGUAUAUCUUCAUGUUUAGCAAGAUUUUCUCAGAGCACACACACUCACCACUGUCAUUUUUUUGCAACCUGGCAUUACCAAAUCUGUCUGCGUCUGAAGCCGUUCAAAUGAAAAUCUGUUCUCAAAGAGAAGGCUUUUUCUCCAUCUUGAAAAUAGCACCUUGCCUAUAGAUUGAUGUGGAAAAAAGCCGAUCCGUGUUUUGAAGGUCUGACUUAACGUAUCAUGUGAAAUUACCGUCCCUAUUUGCCAGUCAUAUCCUUUUGGCUUUCAUCAUGCCAGGUGAAAAGUCUUUGAAUGUGAUUCUGUCCGAUCCAAUGUGUUUACACAUGCCAAUCUAUCCUAAUGAAGCUUUUGUAUUAUUAUUAUUAUUCUUUUACAGAUGUUGUUUUCUUUCUUUUUACAGAUAUGAGUUUUAUAUAUAAACACCAUAAAGAUAAACUAUAUUAUGCAGCAAUUUUAAUAUAUUGUAAACUGCUUUGAUGCAAUGUAUUUAUUAUGUUUUUGAUUUGUUUAUUUGCUACCCUUGCUGAUAAGAUGGAACAAGGGAAAAAAUAAUGUCAUAGAUAUUAUGUACAGUUUUGUUUUUGGUUUAUUUUAUUUUAUUUUUUUAAAUGCCUCCUUGUCACCAUUUGAAGAAUCUCUCAGUUGUUCAUCUCAGAGAACUGUGUUUUCACAGGAGUCAAUUAUUUUACUGAUUCACACACAGCAUGAUUUACACUUUUACAAAUGUACAUGUAUUGUGUAUCAACAUGUUUCUUAGACCAAUGAACUGAUACUUUACCUGAUUUAUUUUGCACAAACAACUGGGUGCGUGAAUAAUGUGCUGAUCGGGGGGGUUUCUCUUACUGUCUAAUUCAAUAGUUCUACACUGGCAUUUUGUAAGUGCUAGCUUUGAGGGAUUAUUACCCAUUCACUGCCUGGCUACUAGCUUUUCAAAGUUAUUUUACGUGCUGUCAAUGAUUAUAUGACUAUUGUUUAUUUGUUUGUUGAAAGGCAACACUCACGGUGAUCUUGAUCAGAUGAACGACUGGCUUAAUAUUUGUAAGGCCAAGUUCAUUUUAUUGACAAAACGCUACUGCUAAUGAGCAGUUUUAUGAGAUCAUUUUAAUUGCUGAAUCGUGAGAGUUGAGUAUUUCAGAUUGCACAUUUUCUUGUCAUACAAGAAUUCUGUAAAGAUGAACCUAUUUCUGAUGUCAAGCAGAAAUUAAAAGGUGAUUUUAUUUUUAGAGCAAGUGUGAUUAUAAAGAAAAGUAUCUAGGACGUUUACUGUGAUGCUCCCACAGGGAUAUACACCUAUAUGUAACUGAUCAAAUAAACUUAUUUAAUCAAAACAGAGCAAUACAGUGUCUUUUAUUUUUCUUCUUUUUUUUUUACAUUAUUACAAAAGUGAACUUGUCACUUUACAAUAAGUUUAUGCAGGU
rnacentral:lncRNA from 1 species